rnacentral:rRNA from 1 species
AGACCUACGGGACGCAGCAGUGGGGAAUAUUGCACAAUGGGGGAAACCCUGAUGCAGCGACGCCGCGUGAGUGAAGAAGUAUUUCGGUAUGUAUAGCUCUAUCAGCAGGGAAGAUAAUGACGGUACCUGAGUAAGAAGCCCCGGCUAACUACGUGCCAGCAGCCGCGGUAAUACGUAGGGGGCAAGCGUUAUCCGGAUUUAUUGGGUUUAAAGGGUGCGCAGGCGGUCUGUUAAGUCAGCGGUCAAAGCCCGGGGCUCAACCCCGGCCCGCCGUUGAAACUGGCAGUCUCGAGUUGGAGAGAAGU